UGGAACCCGCGUUCGGGCGGGCUGCCGGGGUGAGUGUGAGUGUGAGAGUGAGAACAGCCCGGCAGGUCCCGAGGCGCUGGCUGGGGACUGUGCCGAGGAAAGUUCCCAGUCCCCAGCCGCAGGACGAUCCCUCGCGGCUUCCUGGUAAUGAAUGACCCGAGGGUAACACCAACACAACCUUCGAGAAAAGGCGGACCAUUUCCCCAAGCCCGAGAUCUGCAGGACUGAAAUGAAAUAUUUUGAGCUCUUCUAGCUGACUCAUCAGAAUCCUGGAGCAUUUUUUAAAAUGACGAGUGAAUAGACUAUAAGCAGCCAUCUCUUUCUCAUGCAGUCCAGCCUGAAAUGGAAAUUGUAGGUUUUAAUGAUUGAAAAUGGAAAUUGAUACAACACACGUGCCCAAGAGAAAUGCAUCUCCAGUUCCUUCAGUCCUGAAAGAUAGGUUGUUGAUCAGCGGUCCCAGAAGCAUUGCCUUGAGUUCUCAGAGUUUGUUAAAAGCUAGGGGAAAAAAAAAAAAAAGUGUAAUCACUCUAUACAGUGCAAAUAUCUGUGUUUAUUUUGUAUAUAUUUCUGGUCUUUAAAAGGGAAAUUCUGUUUCAACUAUCAUUUGACACUAACUUCUUCAAUGUUGCUCAGAAAAUAUUGUUUUAAUUUGAAAUUUCAAAGUUAAACAAAUUUAUUUGACCAUCUUGUGCCAGCAGAAAAUGGAAAGAAACAACUUUAAAAUGCUCUUAAAUGCAGAAAGAAAUAAUCAAAAGAAGAUGAUUUGGAAUCUUAUAUACCUACUGUAAGUAAAGUAUGUAUUAUUAUUUUGAUAAUAAGUACUGACAGAGGAACAAUAUUGUGUUUCUUUUAGAAGAGUACUUGGUAAUUCAGGGUAUGUGUAUUGGAUGCCCUACAGGGUAGGUUCUAUAUGUGACUCAUUUCUAAAGGCACCCAACUAUGGCAGACAAUGAUACAGUAAAUUAUGAAGAACAUAAACUUGAGAAUUAAGCCAAAUUGGGCUCAAAUCCCUGCUUCUCAAAAUAUGUGAACUUGGGCACACUACUUAACUUCUUUGAAACUCUGUCAAAGUGUGUCAAACAUGCUGAACAUCUGUUAAAAUAUGAUGAUAUAUUGACCUUGUUGAGUCAUUGUGAGGCUUACCUGAAAUGUUAUAUGUAAAAUUCUUGGCCUGUAGUAGACUCUCAGUCAGUGUUAAAUAUUUUGAUAGCCAGAUGUUUUGAAUGAGGUAUCCUGAAAUAAGAUAAUUAUGGAGAAUAAUUGGCAUUGAUUUUCCUAGUGGUUUUAUUUCCUUCAUGAAACACAAACUAAAGAAUUUACUUUGAGGUGCAAAAACAGUUUAACAUUGUUCCUAUUUUACGGAAAUUAUAAUUUUGAAGAAUUGGAUGCAAAUAAUGAAUGAAGAAGACUAAACUAACAAA